ensembl:lncRNA
CUCUCUCCCUUUCUUUCGGCCUAGUGGAGGAACCAAGGGUGAGGUGAAAGGGGGAAUGCUGGGAGAGGACACAGACUAGAACUGCACCUCUCUUGGCCUGGAAAGGAACUAACUGACACAUGUGAACACUGGAGAGAGGACAAAGGUGAGCUGGGCCAAGGAAAGAAUCCCAAAAGGCCGGAAGUAAUGUUGAUGGAAUGUCAACCGGGGGCCAGGCCUUGUAAGCCAAGGAAAAAUAGGAAAACUCAAAUGGUCCCUGCUCCAGUCUCAACCCCCAAGUUAAGGAAUGCAAAGGUCCUGAAGACGUUUUCUUCUCGA